rnacentral:lncRNA from 1 species
UUGAAGCAAAACCUUCUCUUGUACACAAAAAAUAUUUUUGAUUACUUAAUAAAAACAGGUAUAUUUCAAUGGAAAAAGCUAUAGAUGAACAAAACCCCGAAUUACCAGAACAAAUAUAUUUAUUUACAAUUAUGAAUAGCUAAAUUCAUAAAUUCCUGACAAUCAUGAUAUGAUAAAAUAAGUUCAUGUUAGUUACUUUGUAGUAGAAUUAUUCGAAGAAUAAUAUUCUACAAAGUUUAUUAGCAAAGUAAAAAAGGAGAAAAAUCCCUAGGACUAUGCCAUCCUAAAGGUGAAACCGGUAAGGCAAGAAGGCCGUGAU